GAUGAACGCUGGCGGCGUGCCUAAUACAUGCAAGUCGAACGAAACUUCUUUAUCACCGAGUGCUUGCACUCACCGAUAAAGAGUUGAGUGGCGAACGGGUGAGUAACACGUGGGCAACCUGCCCAAAAGAGGGGGAUAACACUUAGAAACAGGUGCUAAUACCGCAUAACCAUAGUUACCGCAUGGUAACUAUGUAAAAGGUGGCUAUACUACCGCUUUUGGAUGGGCCCGCGGCGCAUUAGCUAGUUGGUAGGGUAAAGGCUUACCAAGGCAAUGAUGCGUAGCCGAAUUGAGAGGUUGAUCGGCCACAUUGGGACUGAGACACGGCCCAAACUCCUACGGGAGGCGGCAGUAGGGAAUCUUGCACAAUGGGCGAAAGCCUGAUGAAGCAACGCCGCGUGGGUGAAGAAGGUCUGCGGAUCGUAAAACCCUGUUGUUAGAAAAGAAAGUGCGUGAGAGUAACUGUUCACGUUUCGACGGUAUCUAACCAGAAAGCCACGGCUAACUACGU
rnacentral:rRNA from 1 species